AGUGAACGCUGGCGGCAGGCCUAAUACAUGCAAGUCGAACGGCAGCACAGCAGAGCUUGCUCUGUGGGUGGCGAGUGGCGGACGGGUGAGGAAUACAUGGGAAUCUGCCCAGUCGUGGGGGAUAACGUAGGGAAACUUACGCUAAUACCGCAUGCGCCCUUCGGGGGAAAGCCGGGGACCUUCGGGCCUGGCGCGAUUGGAUGAGCCCAUGUCGGAUUAGCUAGUUGGCGGGGUAAUGGCCCACCAAGGCGACGAUCCGUAGCUGGUCUGAGAGGAUGAUCAGCCACACUGGAACUGAGACACGGUCCAGACUCCUACGGGAGGCAGCAGUAGGGAAUAUUGGACAAUGGGCGCAAGCCUGAUCCAGCCAUGCCGCGUGAGUGAAGAAGGCCCCUCGGGGUUGUAAAAGGCU
rnacentral:rRNA from 1 species